rnacentral:rRNA from 1 species
GGCUCAGUAACACGUGGACAACAUGCCCUGCGGUGAGGGAUAACUCCGGGAAACUGGAGAUAAUACCUCAUAGUUUACCAUCGCUGGAAUGCCUGGUAAGCGAAAGGUCCGCCGCCACAGGAUGGGUCUGCGGCCGAUUAGGUUGUUGUUGGGGUAACGGCCCAACAAGCCGAUAAUCGGUACGGGUUGUGGGAGCAAGAGCCCGGAGUUGGAUUCUGAGACACGAAUCCAGGCCCUACGGGGCGCAGCAGGCGCGAAAACUUUACAAUGCGGGAAACCGUGAUAAGGGAACCCCGAGUGCCUGUAUAUGCAGGCUGUCCAGGUGUCUAAAAAACACCUGAAGAAAGGGCCGGGCAAGACCGGUGCCAGCCGCCGCGGUAAUACCGGCGGCUCGAGUGGUGGCCACUUUUAUUGGGCUUAAAGCGUUCGUAGCUGGGUUGUUAAGUCUCUUGGGAAAUCUGACGGCUUAACCGUCAGGCGUCUAAGAGAUACUGGCAAUCUUGGAACCGGGAGAGGUGAGGGGUACUUCGGGGGUAGGAGUGAAAUCCUGUAAUCCUCGAGGGACCACCUGUGGCGAAGGCGCCUCACCAGAACGGCUUCGACAGUGAGGGACGAAAGCUGGGGGAGCAAACCGGAUUAGAUACCCGGGUAGUCCCAGCCGUAAACGAUGCGCGUUAGGUGUAUCGGUGACCACGAGUCACCGAGGUGCCGAAGGGAAACUGUGAAACGUGCCGCCUGGGAAGUACGGUCGCAAGGCUGAAACUUAAAGGAAUUGGCGGGGGAG